GUCGAACGCUUCUUUUUCCCCGGAGCUUGCUCCACCGGAAAAAGAAGAGUGGCGAACGGGUGAGUAACACGUGGGUAACCUGCCCAUCAGAAGGGGAUAACACUUGGAAACAGGUGCUAAUACCGUAUAACAAUCAAAACCGCAUGGUUUUGAUUUGAAAGGCGCUUUCGGGUGUCGCUGAUGGAUGGACCCGCGGUGCAUUAGCUAGUUGGUGAGGUAACGGCUCACCAAGGCCACGAUGCAUAGCCGACCUGAGAGGGUGAUCGGCCACAUUGGGACUGAGACACGGCCCAAACUCCUACGGGAGGCAGCAGUAGGGAAUCUUCGGCAAUGGACGAAAGUCUGACCGAGCAACGCCGCGUGAGUGAAGAAGGUUUUCGGAUCGUAAAACUCUGUUGUUAGAGAAGAACAAGGAUGAGAGUAACUGUUCAUCCCUUGACGGUAUCUAACCAGAAAGCCACGGCUAACUACGUGCCAGCAGCCGCGGUAAUACGUAGGUGGCAAGCGUUGUCCGGAUUUAUUGGGCGUAAAGCGAGCGCAGGCGGUUUCUUAAGUCUGAUGUGAAAGCCCCCGGCUCAACCGGGGAGGGUCAUUGGAAACUGGGAGACUUGAGUGCAGAAGAGGAGAGUGGAAUUCCAUGUGUAGCGGUGAAAUGCGUAGAUAUAUGGAGGAACACCAGUGGCGAAGGCGGCUCUCUGGUCUGUAACUGACGCUGAGGCUCGAAAGCGUGGGGAGCAAACAGGAUUAGAUACCCUGGUAGUCCACGCCGUAAACGAUGAGUGCUAAGUGUUGGAGGGUUUCCGCCCUUCAGUGCUGCAGCUAACGCAUUAAGCACUCCGCCUGGGGAGUACGACCGCAAGGUUGAAACUCAAAGGAAUUGACGGGGGCCCGCACAAGCGGUGGAGCAUGUGGUUUAAUUCGAAGCAACGCGAAGAACCUUACCAGGUCUUGACAUCCUUUGACCACUCUAGAGAUAGAGCUUCCCCUUCGGGGGCAAAGUGACAGGUGGUGCAUGGUUGUCGUCAGCUCGUGUCGUGAGAUGUUGGGUUAAGUCCCGCAACGAGCGCAACCCUUAUUGUUAGUUGCCAUCAUUCAGUUGGGCACUCUAGCAAGACUGCCGGUGACAAACCGGAGGAAGGUGGGGAUGACGUCAAAUCAUCAUGCCCCUUAUG
rnacentral:rRNA from 1 species